GGCUGCAUAGGUGCAUUUCUAAUAAGUAUUACUGUGUGGCAUGUUAUACGCUAAUCUUAAUAUUUCUUAACCACUAAGACACAUUGGCCUAUGCGGAGUACUAGACUGUCACAGGUGAACGGUUCUGGUGCUUGAGCUAGCGUGUUUAUAUGAAGAAGCUCCUAUCAGUGAGACACUGAAAUUUGUAGUCUCUGAAUCCAUUCCCUGGUAGAGUGAGGGCAAAGGAACCUGCAGUUGAAUUUUAAGUUAAAAUUGUUACCCUUUAGGGUAAUGAUCUCAGCCUGCCUCCAGAAGAUGAUGCCAUAUUAUAAAUGUAGCAUGUCUGUUGCCAUCCAGACCACAUAUGGUGUGAACAGCAUGAUCAUUUUCAUCUCCGUGGCAGGUUCAUUUUGAAGCACUUUCUGGAUGAGGAGUGUGGGGGAAAAAGUAUGCACCUCCUGUGGAGUGAGGGUAUAAUUUGUUCAGCAGUUACAUCAUUUGAUCAGUCUAACUAUGUUUGCAUGUGCUUAUCAUUCCAGAAUUUAAGCGCAAGAACUUUACAGCAGCAAGGAGGUAUUUGGACUGUUUAGUGUCUUGUCUUGCUUAACUUCAGACAUGCACAUGUUUCUUAAUUCAGCCUCUCUCCUUGUUUUGCAGUGACUGUCUUAGAAAAGAAAACAAGGUAGCUGCAAAGAGAUGUUUCUUAUUAUUUAUCACUAAAUGGACUGAAUCCCAACCAUGCAGGCAGUGGCUGUGUCUCAGUGUGUGUUAGCCAGUGAGCCCUUGCUGGAGUGAGCCAUCGUUCCUGACACCUGUAGCUCCAGUGGUGCAGAACUGUCACUGGAAUGUCACUGCCAGGCCAUGAAGGAGUUUGACAAAUUGCCUUGGAUAGGGAACCCACAGAAUGCAACUACACUUCUGCGUUGUUGAUUAUACUUAUUGGCCUGAAUUGCUCAGGAGUUGCUCAUGGUCAAGGAACUGAAGCUUCUUGAAGAUGUCCCCAGGUACCCCCCAAGAAGGACGGCACUGACUUGCUGUGAAAUCCCAAGCAGCAGAGAUGAGGAGCCAGUCGGAAAAUCCGUGACACAAUUUCUACACUGCUUCUGAAGCCUUGCGCACUGAAGAGCUAUAAAUGCUACUAAACUAAUGAGGAAAGUGAAUUUGAUGGAGUAUUAAUGAUGAUAAAAUGACUUUGUCAUUCUUUGAUCUUUUUAAGCAAGGCAGUUGCACAAAGUGAAUGGGAAUAUGUUGG
rnacentral:lncRNA from 1 species